UUGAACGCUGGCGGCAGGCCUGACACAUGCCAGUCGCACGGUAACAGGAAGAAGCUUGCUUCUUUGCUGACGAGUGGCGGACGGGUGAGUAAUGUCUGGGAAACUGCCUGAUGGAGGGGGAUAACUACUGGAAACGGUAGCUAAUACCGCAUAACGUCGCAAGACCAAAGAGGGGGACCUUCGGGCCUCUUGCCAUCGGAUGUGCCCAGAUGGGAUUAGCUAGUAGGUGGGGUAACGGCUCACCUAGGCGACGAUCCCUAGCUGGUCUGAGAGGAUGACCAGCCACACUGGAACUGAGACACGGUCCAGACUCCUACGGGAGGCAGCAGUGGGGAAUAUUGCACAAUGGGCGCAAGCCUGAUGCAGCCAUGCCGCGUGUAUGAAGAAGGCCUUCGGGUUGUAAAGUACUUUCAGCGGGGAGGAAGGGAGUAAAGUUAAUACCUUUGCUCAUUGACGUUACCCGCAGAAGAAGCACCGGCUAACUCCGUG
rnacentral:rRNA from 1 species